AGCUUGCUCUUAUGAAGUUAGCGGCGGACGGGUGAGUAACACGUGGGUAACCUGCCCAUAAGACUGGGAUAACUCCGGGAAACCGGGGCUAAUACCGGAUAACAUUUUGAACCGCAUGGUUCGAAAUUGAAAGGCGGCUUCGGCUGUCACUUAUGGAUGGACCCGCGUCGCAUUAGCUAGUUGGUGAGGUAACGGCUCACCAAGGCAACGAUGCGUAGCCGACCUGAGAGGGUGAUCGGCCACACUGGGACUGAGACACGGCCCAGACUCCUACGGGAGGCAGCAGUAGGGAAUCUUCCGCAAUGGACGAAAGUCUGACGGAGCAACGCCGCGUGAGUGAUGAAGGCUUUCGGGUCGUAAAACUCUGUUGUUAGGGAAGAACAAGUGCUAGUUGAAUAAGCUGGCACCUUGACGGUACCUAACCAGAAAGCCACGGCUAACUACGUGCCAGCAGCCGCGGUAAUACGUAGGUGGCAAGCGUUAUCCGGAAUUAUUGGGCGUAAAGCGCGCGCAGGUGGUUUCUUAAGUCUGAUGUGAAAGCCCACGGCUCAACCGUGGAGGGUCAUUGGAAACUGGGAGACUUGAGUGCAGAAGAGGAAAGUGGAAUUCCAUGUGUAGCGGUGAAAUGCGUAGAGAUAUGGAGGAACACCAGUGGCGAAGGCGACUUUUCUGGUCUGUAACUGACACUGAGGCGCGAAAGCGUGGGGAGCAAACAGGAUUAGAUACCCUGAUAGUCCACGCCGUAAACGAUGAGUGCUAAGUGUUAGAGGGUUUCCGCCCUUUUA
rnacentral:rRNA from 1 species